GAUGAACGCUGGCGGCGUGCUUAACACAUGCAAGUCGAACGGGAUCCAUCAGGCUUUGCUUGGUGGUGAGAGUGGCGAACGGGUGAGUAAUGCGUGACCGACCUGCCCCAUACACCGGAAUAGCUCCUGGAAACGGGUGGUAAUGCCGGAUGCUCCAGUUGAUCGCAUGGUCUUCUGGGAAAGCUUUCGCGGUAUGGGAUGGGGUCGCGUCCUAUCAGCUUGACGGCGGGGUAACGGCCCACCGUGGCUUCGACGGGUAGCCGGCCUGAGAGGGCGACCGGCCACAUUGGGACUGAGAUACGGCCCAGACUCCUACGGGAGGCAGCAGUGGGGAAUAUUGCACAAUGGGCGCAAGCCUGAUGCAGCGACGCCGCGUGAGGGAUGGAGGCCUUCGGGUUGUAAACCUCUUUUAUCGGGGAGCAAGCGAGAGUGAGUUAC
rnacentral:rRNA from 1 species